UGAAGAAGCGGGCUAA
rnacentral:sRNA from 1 species